UGAAAAUGCACGUUGUGGUAGCUAAGAUAUUGAACUAUGCUCCUAUGAGCCAUUUUUUUGUAAUUCACCAUGGUUGCUAUGGUAACGGAUAAAACAGAUUGCGUAUACACUUUUCACUAUAAAUCCUGUUAGAAAAUAAAUAUCAAAAAAAUGGCUCAUAGUUGCAUUCUACAUACCUUAAACUACAUCUGUGCCAAAAAUGGGAAAUUUUCAUUAAAACAGUAACAAGAAAAGCUAGGGGGGCAGUUGACGUGCGGCCAAAUAUCACAUUUUGAGAAAUAGACAGUUAAAGUUUAAUUUCCGUUGGAACUUGUUGUUUGAGUGUUAUAAGAGUGUUUGAGGCUCUAUUCUUUUCUUGGCAGCUUGCUUUUGCCCUUUUUACCAUUACUUUUCAUUGUCGUCGUCUUUCUCUUAGUUGAACCACUCAAACAAUCCUUGUUAAAUGCCGCGCUCUCAUAUGUUACUCAUUUCCGUGCGUUCGAUCUUGCCUCUUCCGCCAAUUUUGCCUGUUGAAUUUUCUGUCUUGCUUCCUUGAACUUCAUCUGGGUCCUUGCAUUUGCUUGUUUUACUCUCUUGUCAUUCUUUCUCCCACUUCCAGUUUUUGUAUAAAAACCAGCAUACAUUUUCAGCUCUUUCAUUACAAUAUCAAGUCGACCAGCCGCGCCAAUGUUCAAUCUUUCUUCCAAGACUUUUCUUGUUGCUAGAUUCACCGAUUGAUUGUGUUUUUGGUAAGCACUAUCACUAUAAACUGGUCACUAUAAACUGGAGGGCCAAUGUUCAAAAUGUCACAAAUAGUUGAAAGAAUUUCCCAACCUAAGCCCAGCUCACCCAUAGGAAAAUUAGUUCUACAUCAAAAGAACAUGCCUUUCCCUCAACUGGCUUCUAUGUAUCCAUGUCAAUCCUCUGCACUCAAAAUAAUAAUAAACUAAGUACUGCUCAGUCCAGCACGUUUUGCAGCAUCUUCAGAAGUUAUAAUGUUUUCAUUUUUGCACUUAUGCAUGUUCUCAACUGUUUUCCUAAUGUUUUCAAUACAAACAAUCCGAUAUCCUUCUUGUCCCUGUGAAGUUUGCCUUGCAGUUUAUAAUAUCCCUUCAAUUUCAGGAGUAAAUUUGAGGUGAUUUUAAAUUAGCUUUCUCCAGUUUCUUUGCCGAUGUGACUUCUCAUCAGUUUUAUUCAAUAAAUCGUCAUCAUAUUAGUCUUCAUUUUACUCUUCUGAUCCAGAUCGGGUGUUAGAUUUGAGAGCCAUGAACUUUCCUUCAAAACAUCGCCAUCUUCGCAAAAAUCAGAGAAUCGUUUCCCUUUGAAACGGGCUUUUUCUUUGAUUUGUUUCUCACACGAAAGUUUGUUCCUUCUUUGGAACCUUUUGGCAUUAUUACAAACCAAAAAUGCAACAAAAUAUAGCGACAAAAUAGAAAAUUUAGCGGAAUAUAUUCUCAAAGCCUCAUGUAAAUGAGUAAAAUUAUGUAAAUAACAAAAUUAUGCAAUUGUAGCGUGUCCCUAUGUGCCUCUCAUAUCCAUAAUACACACCAUUGGCAUAGGUAGCCCUGUAUAAAUUUUUACAUUGAAAUCGCACAGUAAAACGACUUUUUUAGAGGAUUUUUGAAGCUCGUUUCCAUGGUAACCUGGUGUAAACAUUCAAUGAAAUCUCACAUCCUUUCUCUAAAGUCUAUUUUUUUCCGUAAAAAGUAUGGAAAUUUAAAUAAAGACUUCACUAGUUGAUAAAAUACAUGUUUAGGUAUCCUAUCAUGAUGUUUUAGAUAUUUUGACAUUUUCAUCCUAAUCGACUAAAUUUUGAGGUGAAGCUCCCCCUUAA
rnacentral:lncRNA from 1 species